GCUGGGCACAGUGGCUUACGCCUGUAAUCCCAGCAGCUUGGGAGGCUGAGGCAGGAGAAUCAUGAGUUCAAAGCCAGCCUCAGCAAAGGCCAGGUGCUAAGCAACUCAGUGGAACCCUGUCUCUA
rnacentral:sRNA from 1 species